rnacentral:sRNA from 1 species
CACAUCAAGUAUAUUAAAAACAAAAGCCUAAUUAAUUAAGAGUACCAGUAGUAGUCCCAUCGGGGGUGGAUCUUGUGCAUGCGGUUUACCCCGUAAGGGUACUCGGAGACGGAGCGGCGGGCGUUCCUGAAGGCGCAGCAGCCGCAGGCGCAGAUGCAGAUGAGCACCACCAGCACCAUGACGUUGAGCACCGAGAUCUUGUGCCAAUCCUCCCUCACCUUCUCCAUCACCCCGGCCCUGCACGACUCGCACCCGUAGCACAGUAUCCCCGCCGCGUUGUUCCACCGGAAGCAGUCCUCGUCCUGCGCUCCGACGGCCACCCCGCCGCUGUACGCGCACGCCGUCGGCGGCUUGCAGCACCCCGACUAUUAUGGAUACAAUACAAUUAAUCAUCUUGAUUCUUUGAGCUGUAUAGUAUAAUAAUCUUUGAUGAAGAAAAAAAUAUCCAUCAGUUUUUGUUACCUGGAUUGGGGUGAGAUCAUGCUGGAGGUAAUCCAUGGGUGACCAAUUGGCGAUCUUGGGGCAAGCCUUGGAUCCAACGACGCAUGCGAGCGCGGGGCGCCAGUAUUUGGCGUCCUGGAUGUGCUUCUGCAGCCAGGACGAGUAGUCGGAGGUGUGGUACUCGCGGUAGGGGCGGCCGGGGACCUGGGUGCCGCCGCCGCCGGCGGUGACGGCGAAGCCGAAGGCGGUGAGGCCGAGGAGGAAGGCGAUGAGGAGCAUCAUGGCGAGGAGGUAGAGCCACAGCGCCCACGCCACGUGGAAGCAGGCGCCCACGAAGCCGGCGAGGGAGACGAGGAGGACGACGAAGCCGAUCACCAGCAGCGGCGUCUGCAGCAUCGACGAGCACGUCGCCGUCGACCCCUUCGCCAUCCACAGCCCCGCCCCGAUCACCGGGAUCGACGCCAGCAGCGUCGCCAGGUUCAGGUAUCCGAUCAUCACGUUGCUGAA